GUUGCUCAUGAAAACGAAUCAAAAACUCGCAAGCCCUGAAUUUGUUUGGAUUCAUCACAUAAAGAGCCUGCUUUUUCUUUGAAUUUUCUUUUUUUAGAUAUUCAGCAAAGAACUCCUUGGUCAUAGGGCACCAUACUUCGGCACACUGAACAUUUGCUAUGAAGCCACCUUUAACCAAAUCCAACCAAUUAGCUUCAUACAG
rnacentral:misc_RNA from 1 species